GCCGGAAUAGCUCAGCUGGGAGAGCAACAGACUGAAGAGAAUCACGCGGUCUGGUCCCGUGGCCCCUAUUCUGGAGGUCGGGCGUUCGAUCCGCCCUUCUGGCA